ACAAUUCCACUCAGCCACAACUUACACGUAUCACAUUCACGCUUAAAUCUCAUUCACACAAUCACUCUCUACUCUCUAGUCUCUUCUUCUCCAUCUCUGCAAUAUGACGUCUUCAUCUCCAAUCUCCAUUCUCCAGUCUUUGCUCUUCAAAAAUCAAAAUCACAGCCUUAGGCAGAAGGAAACCGAUGCAACAUAGAGCAGACCACCAAUCCACCGAUGCAGCACACCACGCCCGCGGUCACCGUCGAUUUUCCUACCUGAUCUGACACGCCAAUCAUCAUUUGUAGACACAGCCACCGGCUUUGCUACUUCACGCGUCCAUCAUCACGAUUCACCAAGUUCCUCCAAGAUCCACUCAAAGUCUCCAACCCAGUAACCCGAACUCGAAUUUGUGUUUUGACUUUUGAAAUUUUGAUGGUUAUUUACUAAUUUUAAUGUAAAUUUCAUUGAUUUAGG
rnacentral:lncRNA from 1 species